AAAGGGCGCGUAGGCGGCGUUUUAAGUCGGGGGUGAAAGCCUGUGGCUCAACCACAGAAUGGCCUUCGAUACUGGGACGCUUGAGUAUGGUAGAGGUUGGUGGAACUGCGAGUGUAGAGGUGAAAUUCGUAGAUAUUCGCAAGAACACCGGUGGCGAAGGCGGCCAACUGGACCAUUACUGACGCUGAGGCGCGAAAGCGUGGGGAGCAAACAGGAUUAGAUACCCCUGU
rnacentral:rRNA from 1 species